rnacentral:ncRNA from 2 species
AUGAAAUUUAUGGGAGAGAUUUCUAAAUUUUAGAAACACCGAUGGGGCAAUUGAUAAAAUAUCACAGUUUUAUCAAGAAACUUUCAGGUAAAAAUACUAUAAAUGGAUA